CCCAGCCUUGUCCUGGCCGGCCACAACGCAUAACCUGCUGGCUUCCAGGUACCAGGAAGAGAUGGUGACUGAAGGGUGCCACUACAGGGUACAGCCUGGGAGAUCCCAGGACAGAAAAGAGAAAUCCAAGACAGAAGAGGAGGAUAGAGAAUGGGCAAGAGCAGGAGUGCCAGUCUACCUCUGGCUUUGCCUGGUCGGUGUGGACUAUUUUGGAGAGCUCUGACAAAGUGCUUGAUGGUGCUUCUAGCAGCCUUGGCCCCAGCUGCCCACGAGGACAUUGCUCUCCUGAGCUUCCUACUCUCAGCCCUGUGCUCUGUCACCUGGACACUGAGUCAACAAAUCAAAGGCUGGACCUCAGAGAGUUGCUCAGGAAGACAGCUUCUGGUUUUAACCAUCUUUACCUCAGGGUUCAAAGCCAACCCUUUGGGAGGCAUGUGUGUGCACUCGCAGGAAUGA
rnacentral:lncRNA from 12 species